CCUAGGGAAGGUUCUUUUUCUGGAGAUCUCUCCUUUUGGUGUUUUCUAUUGUGAGCCUAGGAUAUGGGUCUAACGUUCUGGUGGGGAAAAAAUACACACGAAGGCAAUGCCAUUGUUGUCCAGGAGAGGGCAGUCACAGAUACCAGCAGGGUUUAGAGGCGGUAGUAGUAACUGCAUACACAGCGAAAGGCGGCGUCCGAAAACCGUGAGCGUCACUCACGUCUUUAUGGCCUUCCUGAUGCUUCGACUGACUUCAAACCUUAUCAGCCAUCGGGCUGUGGUCAGAAAUCUCCCUAAUGCUCCAGCCAAAGCUUUUACGGUCUCCUAAACCGGCCUCAUUGGGCAGAUGGGAGAUAUGGGAGCACUACAGAAAGCAGAAUAUAGGGAGGCACAGCACAAACAAGUGGUGGCACAUGCUGAAGGUUAUGCGAGUGCAGCGAUGUGAGAUUAGAGAGGAGAGGAACCCGAUGGCCAUAUGGAGAGAUUUGGGAGAGCUGAGUCCUGUCACCAGCACCACUGCUGAAGUCCAUCAGAAGAGCAGAUCCUUCUAUUGGCACUGGUGGUGAGGAUAUCCUCCAGGACGGACAAAUGUGGAUGCAGGAGGCAUCCAAUGAGGCCAUGUGCAAUACUGAUGCUUGUCUCCUUUAUGUAUUGUUCAUCACUAAUCCAACAACCUGUGACACCUCACCAUCUGUGUUAGUGCAGGUUUGGGAAAUAAUUUUGGAAACAUCAGGUAUCCGUAGGAGUCCAUGAAUUUCAAGGUUUAAUAUGUCACCUUUUUCUUGUGUAUUGCCAGUUCUGCAGCAUUCAGUGUCAAUAAAUUAACUAUGCUUUUCAUAUAAGGACUAUUUCUAAAAAUAGAGGUAUAGGAAUGAGACAGUAUUUUGCAGAAUUGCGAGAGAGGUGUAGGUAAUGGAUGACAAACUGGAGAUAAAUUACCCAAAGGAAUGAAA